ACAAUGUAGAGGAUUUAUGUGUCCGGUCACUGUCCUCGUGCCUUUUCAUUAUUGUUGACAGAGUUAAAUAUGAACAACAUUUCAAGGAAUAUGUGGAAGCAAUAUGUACAAGUCUUGUUACUACAUACGACAAAUUGUUGUCUCCGUGAGAUAAUUAUACGUUGAAGUAGACCAGAGUGAAGAUCUAAUAAUUCUACAAGAUAUUGUAUUUUCGAUUACGAAAAACUUUCAUGCAUGGAGGGGAGAGGAUACGGCAAGUUUGACAGUAAUGAAUUAGUUUAGCCUUAUAUCUCGUACUACGUUUUGGGCAAUUCGGUUUUGACUUGAUUAAAAUGUGGAUGAUUUUGUGACUGUAUAAAGUCUUGUAUUUUGUUUGUCUGACAAUCGAUAAGUAUUCUAUUUAUUUUUUAGAACGUUUCUCAAAAUUGUUGAAUGUCUAUUACUGUGUAUUUUGAAGGAGUUUGUGCAUUGUUGACUAUGCGAUUAUAGAAUUGUUGGAUAGUUUUUUAUUUAAAGGAUUUUUGUGUAUAUUGGAUUGAAAUUUAUUG